rnacentral:lncRNA from 1 species
GCUGAUCGUGGGUAGAUCCGGCAGAGAUAGUUCUCUACUUGGCAUGCUGGUGUUGUGUGGCUCUAAAGAACUGCCUAGGUAUGGAUGGGAUCCAGCUUUGUGUCACAGAGGAAAUGGACUCCAGUUUCCUGGCUUGACACUGAGGGCUGAACCCUAGGCCCAGAAGAAAUCCAGAGUUGGAUUAGAAGUCUAGCUGGUAGCUGGUCGCCUAUACUGCACUUGGAUGAGGGCGAAAGGCAGCAGGAGAGGCACUCAGUGCCCCAUUCCCAGACGAGGAGGGCUUCUCUCAGCCCUCUCCUCACUGUCUCUCAGCCUGGCCACACAAACCUAUUGGAGGCUACAAGUCUGAGUACAGAUGUUGACGGAAGUUGACCUUCGACCAAAACCUGUGCAUUCAGAAAGUACCGACCACAGCUUCCUCCCUGCAGAUGACUGCAGCCCGACACUGCUCCCUCACAGAGACCACCUAUGGAGAUAAGCUGAGCCGUCUCUUCAUCCGUGCUGUAUAUCAUAAACACAUUGAGCU